rnacentral:rRNA from 1 species
AAGCGGUGGAGGAUGUGGCUUAAUUCGAGGCUACGCGAAGAACCUUAUCCUAGUCUUGACAUGCACGGAUUAACCCCUGGAAACAGGGGCCACGCCUUCGGGUGGAACGUGCACAGGUGCUGCAUGGCUGUCGUCAGCUCGUGUCGUGAGAUGUCGGGUUAAGUCCCUUAACGAGCGAAACCCUUGUCACUAGUUGCCAGCGCGUCAUGGCGGGGACUCUAGUGAGACUGCCGGUGUUAAACCGGAGGAAGGUGGGGAUG